UGGGACCUACGGGGGGCAGCAGUGAGGAAUAUUAGUCAAUGGUCGGGAGACUGAACCAGCCAAGCCGCGUGAGGGAUGAAGGUACAGAGUAUCGUAAACCCCUUUUGUCAGGGAACAAAGGCGGGGACGCGUCCCCGGAUGAGUGUACCUGAAGAAAAAGCAUCGGCUAACUCCGUGCCAGCAGCCGCGGUAAUACGGAGGAUGCGAGCGUUAUCCGGAUUUAUUGGGUUUAAAGGGGGCGCAGGCGGUCUGUUAAGUCAGCGGUCAAAGCCCGGGGCUCAACCCCGGCCCGCCGCUGGAACUGG
rnacentral:rRNA from 1 species